CUGGGAUGAUGCAAUUAGCCAAAUCAUAUGUCGAUGUGCUCCAUGAGGCAAUUUUUCCGAAGCACUUUACCAGUCUCGUCUAUAGACUUGGCAAGGUUUUCGAUGAAUUUGCCUUUCGUAGAAGCGUGUCUAUCUGAUGAUACAAUAGAGAUAGGGUUCCCUGCUGACCAGA